rnacentral:lncRNA from 1 species
CUCAGACUUCCACCACAGUGUUUUUGAAGUGUGGGUCCAUUGCCCAGGUUUUGAAGAUAACUUAAGACUUGUGAGAAAGACAGCAGCAAGUGAAAUUGAAUCCUGCAUCCCCUGGUUUGCAAUAGGGCUCAGG